CAUUUUGUAUAAGUCGACAUUCAUCAACUUUUUUGAGAGGUGGAAAUGAGGUACUGGAUUUUUCAUGAAACGUGCACUUUCAGUUUUGUUAAUUUACUUGUGAGCUUAUCGUUGCUGAUAGGGUUUACCUAAAAAUAAAAAUGUAUUGCCAAACAUUACAGUGCACACCCAGGUGAAGAUUGGACGCAUACAAUGAAUGACACAACUCUAGCAAGAACAUGCGAUCUUUCUCUCCCUCUUCUACGGUAAGAAUGCUCACCAGCUAUGGUUUGCACACAUUCCUGUAUGCUCAGUAUAGAACUGCCCAUCUUUCUUUUUAUUCUGCUGACUAGUGGCCUGGUGGCCUUGUACAUCCUACAGCUUGGGACGCAAGAUAGACGCCCAGGUACUGGCAGGGGCAACAACCAUUGUGACUUCUCCCACCAAAACCUAAUAAUUGGGAAGUUAGCUGCCUGAGAACACCUUCUUAGGGAGCCCCUACAUCAGGGCUUGACACACAGAGGUGUUGGUAAGCUGCUUUUGGAAGGGGUCAGGAAAAAAGUGAUCUCUGAAAGUCUUUCAGAUUUGAUUAUGCAUUAUAAUAAGGACUCUCUUCACUGUGCGUGAGCCUCACAGGUUACCAGACAGACUAGCCCAUGGCAGAAGCUGACAGAGCAAAAUGGAAGCCAACCACACAUAUCCUAACUACUGAGUUCAGAUGGAGAGAAUUUGGAGACCAAGGGUGGAAGGAGCAAGGGAUUACCAUAACUGACCAUCACUGAAGAAUAUAGUGACAUGGUGUCAAGCAUUGUGCAUAAGUUGCAGCUGAAAACAACCCUUUGGAUUGUUUUAAACAUGGAUGAACAUGGAUGGAAACCAUAGACACUUGGCAAACUAUGGCUUCAGGCACUGUCCCCAUGGCACUUACACCAAGCACAACAUGGAGACCUUGUGACCCUCGAUUUUGACUGUGUUUGAAGACCACAUCAAUGGGUCCUUCUUGCAAACUAAUCAUAGGCUUGGAAUUCUGUGGUGUUUCUUCUUCAUCUUCUCCUUUAAAAUAUCCUUAACCUUUUCCCCCUUCAAUAUAGUGUUGAUUAUACAUGCCCAGCUCUGAUAUACAAUAUUUUUUAUUUUUAAAAUAAAAAUUGAGGAGGCGA